UACAGAGGUCUCAAGCGUUGUUCGGAUUCAUUGGGCGUAAAGGGUGCGUAGGCGGCGCGGUAAGUCGGGUGUGAAAUCUCGGAGCUUAACUCCGAAACUGCAUUCGAUACUGCCGUGCUUGAGGACUGGAGAGGAGACUGGAAUUUACGGUGUAGCGGUGAAAUGCGUAGAUAUCAAGUGGAACACCAGUGGCGAAGGCGAGUCUCUGGACAAAUCCUGACACUGAGGCACGAAAGCUAGGGGAGCAAACAGG
rnacentral:rRNA from 1 species